GGAUGUGAGGGUGAUCUGGCUGCCACAUCUGUUACCCCACUGAUCGCCAGGGUUGAUUCAGCUGAUCUGGCUGGCUAGGCGGGUGUCCCAUUCCUCCCUCACCGCUCCACGUGCGUCCCUCCGGAAGCUGUGCACUUGGUCGAAGAGGAUGGCCUUCCCCAAAUAGAGACAGACGGGUCUUCUGUCGAGGGUAUAUGAGUAGCUGUGCUCCCCUGCUACAAUCUCCAAACAAGCUCUCAGAAACAUACACAAUUUAUGUGAUGACUAGGAACAGCAUAAUAUAAUCAUUCAGGU
rnacentral:snRNA from 1 species